UACGUAGGGACCGAGCGUUGUCCGGAUUCAUUGGGCGUAAAGAGCUCGUAGGCGGCCACUCAAGUCGAAUGUGAAACCUCGAGGCUUAACCUCGAGCCUGCAUUCGAUACUGGGCGGCUAGAGUCUGGUAGGGGGAUCUGGAAUUCCUGGUGUAGCGGUGGAAUGCGCAGAUAUCAGGAGGAACACCGGUGGCGAAGGCGGGUCUCUGGGCAGUAACUGACGCUGAGGAGCGAAAGCGUGGGGAGCGAACGGG
rnacentral:rRNA from 1 species